rnacentral:rRNA from 1 species
AUACGAAAGGGGCAAGCGUUGUUCGGAUUUACUGGGCGUAAAGAGAUCGUAGGUGGUUUAUCAAGUCGGAUGUGAAAUCCCGGGGCUCAACCCCGGAACUGCAUUCGAUACUGGUAGACUUGAGUUCGGGAGGGGGAUGCGGAAUUCCGCGUGUAGCAGUGAAAUGCGUAGAUAUGCGGAGGAACACCAGAGGCGAAGGCGGCAUCCUGGACCGAUACUGACACUGAGGAUCGAAAGCGUGGGUAGCAAACAGGAUUAGAAACCCCAGUAGUCC